rnacentral:sRNA from 1 species
UGUCUGUAUUUCUGUAAUAUCGGGUAGA